rnacentral:rRNA from 1 species
AGCACUGUAGUUGUCAGCAGCCGCGGUAAUACGUAGGGUGCAAGCGUUAAUCGGAAUUACUGGGCGUAAAGCGUGCGCAGGCGGUUAUGUAAGACAGAUGUGAAAUCCCCGGGCUCAACCUGGGAACUGCAUUUGUGACUGCAUAGCUAGAGUACGGUAGAGGGGGAUGGAAUUCCGCGUGUAGCAGUGAAAUGCGUAGAUAUGCGGAGGAACACCGAUGGCGAAGGCAAUCCCCUGGACCUGUACUGACGCUCAUGCACGAAGCGUGGGAGCAAACAGGAUUAGACUACCCUGGUACGUCCACGACCCUAAACGAUGUCAACUGGUUGUUGGUCUUCACUGACUCAGUAACGAAGCUAACGCGUAGAAGUU